rnacentral:snoRNA from 1 species
UUCGUCGACGACGACGAACUCAUCAGCUACAUCAUCGCCGGUCUCGAAGAGGAUUAUGAACAUGUGAUCCAAUCUAUCGUCGGGCGUCUAGAUCAAGUCACCGUCGGUGAGGCCUUUUUUCAGCUUCUAAGCUUUGAGC